UACGUAGGGUGCAAGCGUUAAUCGGAAUUACUGGGCGUAAAGCGUGCGCAGGCGGUUGUGCAAGACAGAUGUGAAAUCCCCGGGCUCAACCUGGGAAUGGCAUUGGUGACUGUACGGCUAGAGUGUGUCAGAGGGGGGUAGAAUUCCACGUGUAGCAGUGAAAUGCGUAGAGAUGUGGAGGAAUACCGAUGGCGAAGGCAGCCCCCUGGGAUAACACUGACGCUCAUGCACGAAAGCGUGGGGAGCAAACAGG
rnacentral:rRNA from 1 species